CGGAGGGAAACCGAGUCUUAAUUGGGCGUUAAGUUGCAGGGUAUAGACCCGAAACCCGGUGAUCUAGCCAUGGGCAGGUUGAAGGUUGGGUAACACUAACUGGAGGACCGAACCGACUAAUGUUGAAAAAUUAGCGGAUGACCUGUGGCUGGGGGUGAAAGGCCAAUCAAACCGGGAGAUAGCUGGUUCUCCCCGAAAGCUAUUUAGGUAGCGCCUCGUGAACUCAUCUCCGGGGGUAGAGCACUGUUUCGGCUAGGGGGCCAUCCCGGCUUACCAACCCGAUGCAAACUGCGAAUACCGGAGAAUGUUAUCACGGGAGACACACGGCGGGUGCUAACGUCCGUCGUGAAGAGGGAAACAACCCAGACCGCCAGCUAAGGUCCCAAAGUCAUGGUUAAGUGGGAAACGAUGUGGGAAGGCCCAGACAGCCAGGAUGUUGGCUUAGAAGCAGCCAUCAUUUAAAGAAAGCGUAAUAGCUCACUGGUCGAGUCGGCCUGCGCGGAAGAUGUAACGGGGCUAAACCAUGCACCGAAGCUGCGGCAGCGACGCUGAUGCGUUGUUGGGUAGGGGAGCGUUCUGUAAGCCUGCGAAGGUGGCCUGUGAGGGUUGCUGGAGGUAUCAGAAGUGCGAAUGCUGACAUAAGUAACGAUAAAGCGGGUGAAAAGCCCGCUCGCCGGAAGACCAAGGGUUCCUGUCCAACGUUAAUCGGGGCAGGGUGAGUCGACCCCUAAGGCGAGGCCGAAAGGCGUAGUCGAUGGGAAACGGGUUAAUAUUCCCGUACUUGGUGUUACUGCGAAGGGGGGACGGAGAAGGCUAUGUUGGCCGGGCGACGGUU
rnacentral:rRNA from 2 species